GACGAACGCUGGCGGCGUGCUUAACACAUGCAAGUCGAACGGUAGUUAGUUGGGAGCUUGCUCCCGGCUAAGUGAGUGGCGGACGGGUGAGUAACGCGUGAACAAUCUGUCUCAUACAGGGGGAUAACGCAUCGAAAGAUGUGCUAAUACCGCGUAGGACCACGGUAUCGCAUGGUACUGAGGUGAAAGGCGAAAGCCGGUAUGAGGUGAGUUCGCGUCUGAUUAGAUAGUUGGUGAGGUAACGGCCCACCAAGUCAACGAUCAGUAGCCGACCUGAGAGGUGAUCGGCCACAUUGGGACUGAGACACGGCCCAGACUCCUACGGGAGGCAGCAGUGGGGAAUAUUGGGCAAUGGGCGAAAGCCUGACCCAGCAACGCCGCGUGAAGGAAGAAGGUUUUCGGAUCGUAAACUUCUGUCCUAUGAGAAGAUAAUGACGGUAUCAUAGGAGGAAGCCCCGGCUAACUACGUGCC
rnacentral:rRNA from 1 species